AAAUUCACGCUAAUACCGCAUGUGUCCUACGGGACAAAGCAGGGGACCUUCGGGCCUUGCGCUAUUGGAUGAGCCUAUGUCGGAUUAGCUAGUUGGUAGGGUAACGGCCUACCAAGGCGACGAUCCGUAGCUGGUCUGAGAGGAUGAUCAGCCACACUGGAACUGAGACACGGUCCAGACUCCUACGGGAGGCAGCAGUGGGGAAUAUUGCACAAUGGGCGCAAGCCUGAUGCAGCAAUGCCGCGUGUGUGAAGAAGGCCUGCGGGUUGUAAAGCACUUUUAUUAGGAAAGAAAAACUCAAGGUUAAUACCCUUGAACUUGACGGUACCUAAAGAAUAAGCACCGGCUAACUAAGUGCCAGCAGCCGCGGUAAUACUUAGGGGUGCAAGCGUUUAAUCGGAAUUACUGGGCGUAAAGCGAGUGUAGGCGGCUACUUAAGUCGGAUGUGAAAUCCCCCGGGGCUCCAACCUGGGAAACUGCAUUUCGAUACUGGGUUACUUAGAAGUUUGGGUA
rnacentral:rRNA from 1 species